rnacentral:rRNA from 1 species
GCCCUUUUCCGGUUGAUCCUGCCGGAGGCCAUUGCUAUCGGAGUCCGAUUUAGCCAUGCUAGUCGCACGAGUUCAUACUCGUGGCGGAAAGCUCAGUAACACGUGGCCAAACUACCCUGUGGAUGGGGAUAAUCUCGGGAAACUGAGGCUAAUCCCCGAUACAGCUUCCAUCCUGGAAUGGCGGAAGCUGGAAACGCUCCGGCGCCACAGGAUGUGGCUGCGGCCGAUUAGGUAGACGGUGGGGUAACGGCCCACCGUGCCAGUAAUCGGUACGGGUGAUGAGAGUCAGAGCCCGGAGACGGUAUCUGAGACAAGAUACCGGGCCCUACGGGGCGCAGCAGGCGCGAAACCUUUACACUGCACGUCAGUGCGAUAGGGGGACUCCGAGUGCGAGGGCAUACAGUCCUCGCUUUUCUGUACCGUAAGGAGGUACAGGAACAAGUGCUGGGCAAGACCGGUGCCAGCCGCCGCGGUAAUACCGGCAGCACGAGUGAUGGCCGAUCUUAUUGGGCCUAAAGCGUCCGUAGCCGGCCGGACAAGUCCGUUGGGAAAUCCACGCGCUCAACGCGUGGGCGUCCAGCGGAAACUGUCCGGCUUGGGGCCGGAGGACUCGAGGGGUACGUCCGGGGUAGGAGUGAAAUCCCGUAAUCCUGGACGGACCACCGGUGGCGAAAGCGCCUCGAGAGGACGGACCCGACGGUGAGGGACGAAAGCCAGGGUCUCGAACCGGAUUAGAUACCCGGGUAGUCCUGGCCGUAAACGAUGCCCGCUA